GUCGAGGGGUAGGUUACUUCGGUAAUUGAGACCGGCGCACGGGUGCGUAACGCGUAUACAUCUACCUUUACAGAGGGAUAGCCAGAGUAAAUUGGAUUAAUACCUCAUAGUAUUUUUGAAUCGCAUGAUUUGAUUAUUAAAGUUCCAACGGUAAAAGAUGAGUAUGCGUCCCAUUAGCUAGAUGGUAAGGUAACGGCUUACCAUGGCUACGAUGGGUAGGGGGUCCUGAGAGGGAGAUCCCCCACACUGGUACUGAGACACGGACCAGACUCCUACGGGAGGCAGCAGUGAGGAAUAUUGGACAAUGGGCGCAAGCCUGAUCCAGCCAUGCCGCGUGCAGGAAGAAGGUCCUAUGGAUUGUAAACUGCUUUUAUACAGGAAGAAACACUCCCCCGUGAGGGAACUUGACGGUACUGUAUGAAUAAGGACCGGCUAACUCCGUG
rnacentral:rRNA from 1 species